CCUACGGGGGGCAGCAGUGGGGAAUAUUGGACAAUGGGCGCAAGCCUGAUCCAGCAAUGCCGCGUGUGUGAAGAAGGCCUGCGGGUUGUAAAGCACUUUAAGCAGGGAAGAAGGGGUGACAGUUAAUACCUUUCCUCAUUGACGUUACCUGCAGAAUAAGCACCGGCUAACUCCGUGCCAGCAGCCGCGGUAAUACGGAGGGUGCGGGCGUUAAUCGGAAUUACUGGGCGUAAGUGAAAGGCCGGCGGUUAACCUGGGAACGGCGGUGGAUACUGUCGGGGUAGAGUGUGGUAGAGGGGAGUGGAAUUUCCGGUGUAGCAGUGAAAUGCGUAGAGAUCGGAAGGAACACCAGUGGCGAAGGCGGCUCCCUGGACUAACACUGACGCUGAGGUGCGAAAGCGUGGGGAGCAAACAGGAUUAGAUACCCUAGUAGUC
rnacentral:rRNA from 1 species